AGUUUUUUUUGUAAAAACCUUUUGAUUCAAGGAAUAUUGCACAAAUAUGUAAUAAUAUCAUUUUUUAAGAAAUGGCCAUUUAAUCAUCUUUGGUAAGGAAGAACAGAAGUUUUGCUCAACAUGUACCCAAGUCAAUGUGUAUAGAUACAUGUGCUUUUUCAUAAAAUUUUGUAGUAAAACAUAUACAAAUUAUAUCUACAUGUACAUUGUUACAAAAUGCCACUACAGUACAUGUUUAAAAUAACUGUAAGCAUGUUUACAUGUGGCAACUUUGGCACAAUAAAAACUUACUGACAUAUAAAUAUCAAUGAUGAGUAAUGCUGAAACUCCAAUCAAUUUUCAUCUGAAACAAUGAUAUACUGUCUUGCACACCAAUCAGAACUUGUGGUCAGUCUACAGGCACUUAGCAAAAAAUGCUUCAAGUUUUGACAUUUUGUACACACAGAAAACAAAGGCACACACUUUUGUACAUAACUGUAAAUGAAUUUGCAAAUACAAGUGAUGAUUUUAUUUUGUUAACAUUUAUACAUAUCGUAUCUAUAUUUAUAUAUCUGGAAUGGUUGUCAAAAUAAAAAACUAUAUAUGUGGUAUCAAUCUCAAUGGAUUCAGCUUCUGAUAUCCUUGUCUUUGUCACCAUGCAUAUAAAUAGAUUGGUAUUUUGAAAAAACAAUAAAAAUAAAACAUUUCUGCAACCCAG
rnacentral:misc_RNA from 1 species